ensembl:snRNA U6 U6 spliceosomal RNA
GUACUCCCUUCAGCAGCACAUAUACCAAAAUUGGAACGAUACAGAGAUUUAGCAUGGCCCCUGUGCAAGGAUGCUACAAAUUCAUGAAGCACUCCAUAUUUUU